rnacentral:rRNA from 1 species
GGGGGGGGGGGGGGGGGGGGGGGGGGGGGGCGGGGGGGGGGGGGGGGGGGGGGGGGGGCGGCGCGGGGGUGGGCGGCGGGCGGGUGAGGAACACGGGGAUGACCUACCUAGGAGACGGGGGUAACUGCGGGAAACCGGAGCGACUGCCGGAUAAUCUUUUGAACCGCAUGGUUCCAAAGUGACAGACGGUCGUGCGGUCACUUAUAGAUGGAUCCGCGCUGCAUUAGCUAGUUGGUAAGGUAACGGCUUACCAAGGCAACGAUGCAUAGCCGACCUGAGAGGGUGAUCGGCCACACUGGAACUGAGACACGGUCCAGACUCCUACGGGAGGCAGCAGUAGGGGAUCUUCCGCAAUGGGCGAAAGCCUGACGGAGCAACGCCGCGUGAGUGAUGAAGGUCUUCGGAUCGUAAAACUCUGUUAUUAGGGAAGAACAUAUGUGUAAGUAACUGUGCACAUCUUGACGGUACCUAAUCAGAAAGCCACGGCUAACUACGUG